AUACAGAGGGUGCGAGCGUUAAUUGGAAUUACUGGGCGUAAAGCGCGCGUAGGCGGCUGAUUAAGUCAGAUGUGACGUCCCAGGGCUCAACCUUGGAACUGCCUCUGAUACUGGUCAGCUAGAGUUUAGGAGAGGGAAGUAGAAUUUCAGGUGUCGCGGUGAAAUGCAUGGAUAUCUGAAGGAAUACCAGUGGCGAAGGCGGCUUCCGGGCCUAAAACUGACGCUGAGGUGCGAAAGCGUGGGUAGCAAACGGGAUUAGAGACCCGGGUAGUCA
rnacentral:rRNA from 1 species